CCUACGGGUGGCUGCAGUGGGGAAUAUUGGACAAUGGGGGCAACCCUGAUCCAGCCAUGCCGCGUGUGUGAAGAAGGCCCUCGGGUUGUAAAGCACUUUCAGUGAGGAAGAACGCCUGGUGGUUAAUACCCAUCAGGAAAGACAUCACUCACAGAAGACGCACCGGCUAACUCCGUGCCAGCAGCCGCGGUAAUACGGAGGGUGCGAGCGUUAAUCGGAAUUACUGGGCGUAAAGCGCGCGUAGGUGGCUUGAUAAGCCGGUUGUGAAAGCCCCGGGCUCAACCUGGGAACGGCAUCCGGAACUGUCAAGCUAGAGUGCAGGAGAGGAAGGUAGAAUUCCCGGUGUAGCGGUGAAAUGCGUAGAGAUCGGGAGGAAUACCAGUGGCGAAGGCGGCCUUCUGGACUGACACUGACACUGAGGUGCGAAAGCGUGGGUAGCAAACAGGAUUAGAUACCCUAGUAGUC
rnacentral:rRNA from 1 species